ensembl:lncRNA
CAAGAAGGCUCUUUUAAGAGCACUUUAAAGAGUAGAGAGCACUAAUGAAGCUGUUUCAUCUUUGCUGGCUGUGUGUUUACAAGGUGGGGGUAAAGGGAAUCCUGCUGCGCGUAGCAAAUGCAUGUAGGGCAAAGCAGUUAAUGGGAUGAAAAUGAAAUCUAUACCCAGGGCUUAAUUAAGAAGUUGUUUUUAUUCAUGUUCCAGGAGCAAGCCCCCCGGAUCAGAGAUGCUGAACGCUUGCUGGGUUGUUGUCCUGCACGGGCUGGGGUCUGUGAGCCACUGACGCACCAGCAGAAUUAUUUAAAUACUGUUUUUGUGUCUUCAGUGGAUAGCAAUAGGAGAAUGAGUUUUGCAGAGAAUUUGGACCGCAGUCGUGAAGAAAGAUGCAGAGCUCCAUGUGAGUGAAACCAAUGACCACCCGGGGACGGAGGCAAUCAGCAGGCCUUGAGCUGCCAUGGUCACCUCCCGGCACCUCCGGCCUUGUGUGCCUGAGGAUGGGCCAUCACCUUCCUGCUUGUUUCCCAGAAGCCAGCAAUAGGAUUAGUGCACGUGAGGAGCUGCCUGCUUGCUUCAGGGCCUCUCUUCUGACCAGUGGACUUCACUUUCUGCCAGAACUCAGGCCUGCAGUGGAGAGAAGUGCUGCCAUGCUCAGUCUGUGCCAAGGUGGUGGCACACAGUCCUGGCCCAAGAGAAUCCAGCCCUAUGCUAUAAGUAUAAUGCAUCUAUCUAGUCCCAGGUGA